CUCAGGAUCUCAGGAUAUAGACCUGCAGUUGGUUGAAUAACGUCAAAUAUGGGAAAUCUGAGCACCUCACACAGUGCUUAGCAUCCUGUAAAACAGUAGUGCCCUCAGAUAGGCUCUGACCAAGCAUCUGCCUCCUGAUCUUUACAAGGAGACUAUCACUAAUAACAUUACUAGCAUAGUACUACAAAUUAAUAUCUUCCUCGGUCAUAAAUAUUAUUUCCAGAAGUCUUUGUAACUGCUUUCCCCCAUUUUCAGAUAUAAUCCACUCUGCUAAAUUUUAAGAGCAGUUUUACAGAAUUGAUGCAAACAUGCCUCAACUUAAGAUCCCACAGCAGUAUAAUAAAUAUUCAUCAGUACUACGUUUCUCUUUAUUCACUUCCCAAGAUGCAAAAUAGCUAAAUAACACAAAUUUGUUACAGUGGCAACAGCAACACAAUUAUGGUUAGUGGCCUGCUGUUGCUACCAUCCAAAAUCCAGCUCGCAAUAAUAUAAAACUCUUGACAGGCCAUUCAUGGAUCAAACUUAAAAUACGAGGGAAAAAGAGAAAUGGUUUUAAUGGCUGGAAGCUUAUGGAACUCCCAGUAGCAAAUGGACGCAUGGAAAAGAAAAGCAAACGUACAGUGGGAUGAACAAAAACGUGCGUAUUGCACAUAGAUUUAAUAUAUACACACAAUAAUUACCUGGGCACUUCCAUAAGGCCACAUCAGAUGGGACCAUGGGCAGCCUGACUGAGUGACUGGCAAACCUGCCCAUGGCAGGGGUUCAAACUGGAUGGGCUUUAAGGCCCCUUCCAAGCCAAGCCAUUCUGUGAUUUUAUUGUAAGAGGUGGAGAGCCUGAGGGAUGCUUUCUGCCAAGCCAGGAGUCCAAGCUGAGCUCAGGACAGACAGGUGGAAUGGAGGACGGCACAGGGAGCACUCCCAGGAGGAAGAGGGAGGAAAAGUUUUCUUCAGUGAGCAGCUGAGAGCAGCCAAGCAGAGCCCAUCUCCGGCCUAACUCAAACAAGGUUUUCCCGUCACUGUCUGAGGAGCUGAGGAAAGAACCGACAGAGGUCAGCAGCCACCCGGCUGCUGUGACCUUCCCAAGGAGAUGGAACCCCUCCCGGCCCCCACCAGCCCACGACUGGCCCCAAGGGCUCCAGGACAUUCGCAGGGAUUAUCUCCGAAAUCAGGUCAACCACUCAAAGAAGGAGCACUCGCUCAUCUCCUCACGAAGGCUCGCACCUCCCAGUGCGACAACAGGAGCUUCACUUGCUGAAACUUAUUAAAAAUAAAUAAAUAAAUCUGUAGCUCCGCGUGCUAACGGCCAAUGAAUUAUUAACAGGAAUAAUUACAACUAAUACGCGGUUGUAAAAAUAAAUGAAUAAAGUACAUUUCAUUACGCAGUACCCUUGUUUUUUUUUUUAUGGUGCUUUUUGAUUAGGCACUAAUUUGCAAAAUGUGGUAAUGUGCAAUAUGCAUCCUAGUCAUUACUGACAUCAUUCUGUACUUUAGUCAACAGGCUGACAAACUGACAUGUUGCACCAGUGCCUCUUCUAUGAGAGAAGAAACAAAUGGAGAGGGGUUCCUAUAGAAGUCAGUUUACAGCACUCAGGCAGUGAGGAGUAACCACUGCUGCAGAAGGGCCUUUGGUAUGGCAUAGGGAUAUAAAUCAAAGUAAACAAUAACGGUCUGACCAAAGACCUCUGAUUUCGGUUUGUUUUGUUUGCACACAUUUUUUCUUCUGGAAUCUCUGAUUCAAUCUGGUGAGAAUAUCUAUGUGCCACCCAGAGGGUAAAUAUAAGGCAGUGUGGAUCAACACCAGUUCCGACACCCAAUUUUGAGAAACAUAUGUUCUCCUCAACAGAUAUAUGGGUGUUAUCGUUGGCACUGCUAUAAAUAAAUCUUAAAUCAUCUUCAGUCAAAAUAAGGAGUACCCUAAGGUUUCACUUUCAUCAGUUAACAAUAACACUUCUGGAAAAACAUUAAGCCUAAAGGAUAGAAUAUUUAUUAUUCGACAAAAACUAUCUUACAAAAUAUUAUGUUUCGAUUCCCAGAUGAUUUACAUAAUAGAUUAUUACAGCUGCUAUAACAAUCCCAAAGCUGGUUUUCUUUUUCUGAGAUGCCUUUGAAUCCUUUAAGACUUUGAGUGUUUUUCCAGGUUUCGUUUUAUUAAAUUAGCAUGUCAUGACAAAAUACCUGCACGUCUUUUCCUAGAACCCAACCGGCUGCUAUCUCUGCUCGACAAAAGUGGGAGAACUCAUAGGUGAUUUCAAAGCCACCUGUUGAGCCGAGAUCCAAAGAAGAAAUAUUCCUUCUUCCCCAGCCCAGGCUCUGUGCAGGCUGGGGGGCAGCGAGAGGC
ensembl:lncRNA